UGAAGCUAUUGAAGUGACUUUUCAUACUUUU
rnacentral:piRNA from 1 species